GNUCAGGAUGAACGCUGACAGAAUGCUUAACACAUGCNAGUCGAUUCGAUUUACCUUCGGGUAUUGAGGAUGGCGGACGGGUGAGUAACGCGUAAGGAACUUGCCUCUUGGUCUGGGACAACUGUUGGAAACGACAGCUAAUACCGGAUAUUAUGAGAUUCUCGCAUGGGAAACUUAUGAAAGCUAUAUGCGCCAAGAGAGAGCCUUGCGUUCCAUUAGCUAGUUGGUGGGGUAACGGCCCACCAAGGCGACGAUGGAUAGCCGGCCUGAGAGGGUGAACGGCCACAAGGGGACUGAGACACGGCCCUUACUCCUACGGGAGGCAGCAGUGGGGAAUAUUGGACAAUGGGCCACNNNCNNGAUCCAGCAAUUCUGUGUGCACGAUGAAGGUCUUCGGAUUGUANNNNGNUUUCAGUUGGGAAGAAGAAAGUGACGGUACCAACAGAAGAAGCGACGGNUANNUACGUGCCAGCAGCCGCGGUAAUACGNAUGUCGCAAGCGUUAUCCGGAUUUAUUGGGCGUAAAGCGCGUCUAGGCGGAAAAAUAAGUCUGAUGUUAAAAUGCNGGG
rnacentral:rRNA from 1 species